GUGAUUACGAAUAAGAAUCCUGGAUAUUUUAUUCAAUUCAAUUCAUGACGUUUAUUUGUUGGUGAUUCUGUAUCGAGUAUUAACACCAGGAUUUAUAGCAGAUUAGAUCGUAUUCGAUGAAUCGGUAAGAGAUCAUCAACCUUUGUCCUUGUUCUCCAUCACUUCUUCGUCCAUGUUUUCAUGAACAGAAUCGAUGUGAUUUACAUCCACCUCGAUUACGAAAAUGGAGGCUGGCGGUGUUUCUUCAACGUGAUCGAUUUCCGCUGGAAGUAGCGGCAUCAAAGAAACAUCCACCUCCUGUUUGUCACUUUGCGAAGAACUAGAUCCGUUAGUGCUACAAAGUUCUUUCUCCCGAAUGGAAACGUUGCGAGGAGUCGAUGAUGAUCCUUUCAAUUUGACGGAAGAGAGAUCUUCUGAUAAAAUCUGAGUUUUAUUCAUCAAAACUUCGAGGAUGAUCGACUGCAGCUGUAGAAGAGCACCGAUAACGAGUGGAUCGCUAAGUUAAAUUAAAUGACGCUAUCUACCAGGGCCGACCCUGGACCUAGGCAGAUUAGACGGCCGCCUAUGGCUCCCCAUGGUCCAGGGCCCCCAUAAAAUGAUUUUGCGACUAAGAGUGCAAGAACAGUAAUGUUUAUUAAUAGAGAAAUUGGUAAUUUGGAAGCUGAUAAUCUGAAAAAUGGUGAUUGGGGAAUUGGUGAUUUGAGAAUUGAUAAUUUGGAAAAUGGUAAUUUAUGAAUUGCUAAUAGAGAAAUUGGUAUUCUUUUUUAUCUGAAGGGGCCCUUUUUCGGAGCUCGCCUCGGACUCCCGAAAUCUCAGGGUCGGCCCUGUUAUCUACCCCUGAAGUACAAGAAUAUUGUUCUUUUUCCCACAGUCGAAUGCUGUUCAAAGAAUUACCAAACCUUACCUGACGCAGUAAACUUGAUCUUUGCCCUCUGGCUGCAGGUGGACCUCCCAUUUGCCUUUGAUGUUGCCUCUGAGAACCCACCAAAGACCCACGAUCCUGUAUCACGCUGAUAACGCUGGAUUUCACGUCGCUAUGCGGGAAAAUCAGCCUCCACAUGAAGUUCUUCAACGCUGCACGAAAAUCUUUCAGAUGGUAGGCGUAAAGUAGCGGAUUACCAGCCGAGUUAAGGUGCGACAGGAUGAUGCAAAAGUUCAUCAGGAUAUCGUUCACCUUGCACCGUGGACAGAAGGCCAUGAUGCAAUUAAUGGUGUACAGAGGGAACCAGCAGAUGAUGAAGAAAAUUACAAUGCGAGAUAGAUUCUGCGUCGCUUUUACUUCCCGCUUCCUAGCUGCUCCGAGUAGACGCAACAUCGUACCUGUUGUCUGAUUUCCGGUCCUUCUACCCGGAUUCAUCGUUACAAUUUGUUGCAACUAUUAGAAAUAUAUAACACAGAGAUAUAGGACGAUUUUGAAAUGAGAAAAGUCUGGCAUAAUUUGACGGCAUAAAAGUAUAACAAAAUGACACUUAUGAUACACCAAUUUAAAGCUUAAAUUUUAAAGAUGAUUACAUAAGGGUUCUAUCAAUAUUCUCAACACAAAAUGGCUGAUUCUUUGUUGGAACAAACAAUUGGAUACUCCCUAAUGGACAGUUCUAACGAUAAGCUGUAAAUUGAUUGAUUCAUUGUUUUUGUUCUAAUAAAGUAUCAAUCAAUUUCUACUAAGAAUAUCGAUGAAAAGUUUAUGUAAUCAUUUCCAUUAAGCCUUAAGCUUGAAAUUGACAUGCUGUAAGUGUUAUUUUCUGAUACUUUUAUGUCAUCAAAUCUUGUCAGACUAUAAAUUGAAAUGGGAUGAAAGGAACACGUGUAUACUGAAUAGGAUGUACGACAUAGAAACAUGUUCCUUUCAUCCUACUUUAAAGUCCGUUUGAGAUGUUAACAGGUUUACAUAUAAUAAACCAUUAAUCCACGUAUCGAUGUGCGUUACAUAUGUAUUAAUUAAAAAGGGUAAAUUGCGACGUCUAGUAAACAUCAAGUGAUCUUCAUUAAUUCGUUAUCCUCUGUUUGCAUAUCGCAUAUGUAUAUGAUCGUGUAUUUACGGUUAAAAGUGUCUGACCUGCUUUACGACCACUCGGUAUAUAUGGGCGUAGAAGGCUGCAAUUAAUAGCGCGGGAAAGAUGAUCGUAGCGAAGUAGAGGAACACCAAGUAAUCGUAAUCCAUCACUUCGGUGAAGAUACAUUUCUGGUUUGACCUCUCGCCCGCGUUCCAGCCAAAAAGUGGCAGAAAACCGACCAGAGUGCCGGCGAUCCAGCACACGCAGAUUAUACCUAAAAAAAAAUAUGGAUCACGAUAGGGACAGUUCAAAAUUAAUUUUCUUUUUCUUCACGUCUGAUGGCUUCUGGAGGAAAUUAUAAACGUUUUGGAAGUCGGUCAAAGAAGUCGAUGAUAGGAAGUACACGUGAAUGUUAUCGAUUGGAUAGCUUGGCAAUAAACGCACCUUUUUCCCUCUUGAGUGAUGGUAUCAGUCAGCGGGAUCGUAAUUAAAAUCACUCGUGCCAUAAACAGGCGAAACGCUUGAAUUAAUCACGGCCAACCACCCUCAGAAAUGAGAAACGUUUGAAGAUCCCUGAAAAUUCCAAAGAGACACGGUUUUCUAUCAAUACUAUGACACGGCGGAAGAAAAGAAAGUCCUUUGGGAAAUCGAAUGUAAAGGGAAUUACGGCGUGUUUUUCAUACGAUACGCUCGCGUGGACAUCAUCCCGGAACAAACUUGAUAAUUUCUUAAUUCCUUUGUUAAUUACGAUAUUAAAAUCUUUUCUAUACCAGAAGCACCACCUGUUGCCAUCACUUCAGCCUUCCAGAGAAAUAUGCUAAAGCUUCUCUAUACAGAUAAAAGAAACAAAAGGAUCUAAAUAUUGAAUACAAAAGAUUUUCUGUAGUAUUACUAUUGAAUAGGAAACAUAAUCGACAACAACGGCUUCUGAGAGCGUCCACACAAUGUUGCUUAAUCAACAGUCUGAUGCCCUGUAUUCGUAGAACGUGAGGUACACUACUGCCAAGAAAUUUGGAAAUAUUUAAAUUGUUUUAAAAAAUAAUUAAAAGGUCGAGAUAGAUAAGUGAUUCUACAUUGUAUUCUUUUGUUUAAUUCUAAUACUGUUCUCUUCUAUAUUAAUAUACAGGUGAAAUAUAUAUUUUAUAUUAUACAAUGCAGUUGAAGUAUCUAUUUAAAUCUCUUUCUUUCCAAACUUUUUAACAGUAGUGUAAAUCCCUUAUCAGUGCGAUCACAGAAAAAAUUUUACUUGAACUACGAAACAUUGAAGAUAAUCAUCGAAUUUCUAUUGGAAUUUAUCCAAUAGUAAAUUACUAUAAUCCUGACGAGAAGAAUUAGUAUUUUCAGAAAUGAAUUAUUAAAGUUAUGCGAAUGUAACUCGUUCGAUUAAAAGUUUGCCUGAAAGUUGCGCCGAGCGUGUAACAGGUGCUUUCGAGAGCAAACAAUUCCGUAAAUUAUAAUUGCACGACUCGGAUCAAUAUUGCUUUACGGUUUGCUCGAUUAAAUGGUUACGUGUGUCGUGCAAAAUACUUCCGAGAAGACACGAUUUUAAUUGGAUCAUCGGAUUGCACUAGGCUACCCUGGAUUUAUAUAAUAAAAAUGAAGAAUAAUCUGAAGUUAUGAAUUAAAUGACCACUGCACCAUUUCUCCAAGGGUCCAAGUUUUAGUGCGUACGGUACGGGAAUAUCCCAUGGGAUGAAGUAUCGCCCAGUAACGAUCGACGGACACCGCGACGAGACAGAAGAUGCUGAUGGUGCAUAGAACGACCAGCACGGAUACCGUGAAUAAACAAGCGUG